rnacentral:rRNA from 1 species
UAUGUGAUCGUCUCUCGCAUAUCAAUAAGCGGAGGAAAAGAAACUAACAAGGAUUCCCCUAGUAACGGCGAGUGAAGCGGGAAGAGCUCAAAUUUGAAAUCUUAAAGGGUUUCCCUUUACGAAUUGUAGUUUAAAGAAGUGUUUUCUGUUGAGGUUUUGGUAAAAGUUCUUUGGAAUAGGGACAUCAUAGAGGGUGAGAAUCCCGUAUUUGACCUUUACUUUCAACUUUGUGAUACACUUUCCAAAGAGUCGGAUUGUUUGGGAAUGCAGUCCAAAAUGGGUGGUAAAUUUCAUCUAAAGCUAAAUAUUGGCGAGAGACCGAUAGCGAACAAGUACCGUGAGGGAAAGAUGAAAAGAACUUUGAAAAGAGAGUUAAACAGUACGUGAAAUUGUCAAAAGGGAAGCGUUUGACACCAGUGUUGUUUUUCUGAAAAUCAAUUAAAGAACUGUUUAUGCUAAGCUGUUUAGACUUUAUCAGCUAUCUGUUUAGUUUUGAGCUUUUCUUUAAUGCACUUUUCAGUUAACAAGUCAACAUCAAUUUCUUUUGCUGUAAAAAAAGCUUGAGGAAGGUGGCUUGAGAUUCGUCUCAAGUGUUUAUAGCCUCUUGCCUAUGCAGUCGGAGAGAUUGAGGUCUGCAGCGUAGAUCCUUCGGGGCUAAAUGCAUUUGUGCUAAGUUAUAGCAUUUUAUAGACAACUUGUUGACUAUGAUUUGUCUUGUAGCUUACUCGCUUAUGUUAUUUUACCUACGCUUAGGAUGUUGAUCUGUAGUGCGUGCGC